rnacentral:rRNA from 1 species
AUGAACGCUAGCGACAGGCUUAACACAUGCAAGUCGAGGGGCAGCACAGGUAGCAAUACCGGGUGGCGACCGGCGCACGGGUGAGUAACGCGUAUGCAACUUGCCUAUCAGAGGGGGAUAACCCGGCGAAAGUCGGACUAAUACCGCAUGAAGCAGGGGCCCCGCAUGGGGAUAUUUGCUAAAGAUUCAUCGCUGAUAGAUAGGCAUGCGUUCCAUUAGGCAGUUGGCGGGGUAACGGCCCACCAAACCGACGAUGGAUAGGGGUUCUGAGAGGAAGGUCCCCCACAUUGGUACUGAGACACGGACCAAACUCCUACGGGAGGCAGCAGUGAGGAAUAUUGGUCAAUGGCCGAGAGGCUGAACCAGCCAAGUCACGUGAGGGAUGAAGGUUCUAUGGAUCGUAAACCUCUUUUAUAAGGGAAUAAAGUGCGGGACGUGUCCCGUUUUGUAUGUACCUUAUGAAUAAGGAUCGGCUAACUCCGUGCCAGCAGCCGCGGUAAUACGGAGGAUCCGAGCGUUAUCCGGAUUUAUUGGGUUUAAAGGGUGCGUAGGCGGCCUUUUAAGUCAGCGGUGAAAGUCUGUGGCUCAACCAUAGAAUUGCCGUUGAAACUGGGGGGCUUGAGUAUGUUUGAGGCAGGCGGAAUGCGUGGUGUAGCGGUGAAAUGCAUAGAUAUCACGCAGAACCCCGAUUGCGAAGGCAGCCUGCCAAGCCAUUACUGACGCUGAUGCACGAAAGCGUGGGGAUCAAACAGGAUUAGAUACCCUGGUAGUCCACGCAGUAAACGAUGAUCACUAGCUGUUUGCGAUACACUGUAAGCGGCACAGCGAAAGCGUUAAGUGAUCCACCUGGGGAGUACGCCGGCAACGGUGAAACUCAAAGGAAUUGACGGGGGCCCGCACAAGCGGAGGAACAUGUGGUUUAAUUCGAUGAUACGCGAGGAACCUUACCCGGGUUUGAACGCAUUCGGACCGAGGUGGAAACACCUUUUCUAGCAAUAGCCGUUUGCGAGGUGCUGCAUGGUUGUCGUCAGCUCGUGCCGUGAGGUGUCGGCUUAAGUGCCAUAACGAGCGCAACCCUUGCCACUAGUUACUAACAGGUAAAGCUGAGGACUCUGGUGGGACUGCCAGCGUAAGCUGCGAGGAAGGCGGGGAUGACGUCAAAUCAGCACGGCCCUUACAUCCGGGGCGACACACGUGUUACAAUGGCGUGGACAAAGGGAAGCCACCUGGCGACAGGGAGCGAAUCCCCAAACCACGUCUCAGUUCGGAUCGGAGUCUGCAACCCGACUCCGUGAAGCUGGAUUCGCUAGUAAUCGCGCAUCAGCCAUGGCGCGGUGAAUACGUUCCCGGGCCUUGUACACACCGCCCGUCACACCAUGGGAGUCAGUAACGCCCGAAGUCAGUGACCUAACUGCAAAGAAGGAGCUGCCGAAGGCGGGACCGAUGACUGGGGUG